GGGUCUCUUUCUGGAGAUCCCUCCUUGGUGGGGCUUUCUGCUGUGAACCUGGAAUCUUCUGAUAUGGGCUCUGGAAAUCUCUGGACUCGUUGUCAGGAAGGUGAGCACAAAUAUGACUUUUUCAGCACUGAAGGCAUUAAUGGCAUUCAGCAAAGUAGCAGGAGCUGGAGGCUCAGAAGAAAUACACUGUGCAGGCUGUCAGCAUGGAGACACUGAGCUCAACUUCACCACGACAGGCAGCCCCCAGCACAGCUGUAACAAAGAGGUGCUUAAAGCCAGACAGAAUCCAGACUGCCACAGGAGGAGAAGAAAGGAAGACGAGAAGAAAGAAAAUGAGAUGGGAUUUUCCUUAUCUUCCUCUCGCUGUGGGAACUGCUGAGCACAUGCUGGCUGCAGGGGAGACCCCAGAGUGCUUCCUUUCCUUCGUGCUGUGCCCACCCUGUGGAAUACAGAGCCAAUUUAGAUGGCAAUAUGUGCUGUUUGAUAUGAAGUGCAACACCUGGCACCCAGGACUGCCUUCAGUUCCUGAGGAUGGAGGUUAAGGAGAACAGAGGGCUGCAAAUUACCAACAGCAAAGGGAAGAACUGCAAGCAAUGAAUAACGAGAAGCAAAUAUUUGGUCAGGCACACAAACACAGGCAACACAAUUCAUGAAUGAAUGAAAACCAACGGCCACUCCCAAAAUAUCUCAGCAAAGGAAACCUGCUGACAUAAAUAUUUGCAAAUGGCACAUGAGAGGCUGAGCCAGAGGGGUUUGCAAACAUUGCCUGAGAACAGAGAGCCCUGUAGACAGCUUUAACCACUGCACUCCCGUCCUCUUCUCAUCAGCUACAUCCCUCGUGCUCCUCCCCAGGGAAACCAUCGUCAGUCUUCAUAGAAGAUCAUAGAACCAGAGAAUUGUUUGACCUGGAAGGGACCUUUAACAGCUAUCGAAUCCAAUGCCCCUGCAAUGCACGGGGACACCCACAGCUCCAUCAGUGCUCACAGCCCCAUCCCCUGACCUUGGCUGUCUGCAGGGAUGGGGCACCACCACCUCUCUGGGCAACCUGUGCCACUGCCUCUCCGCCCCUUCUGUAAAGAGCUUCUUCCUUAUAUCUUCAUUCUUCUCUGCUUUUCUCCCCUACCAGCUCACAGGGAAGUUCCCCUCUCAGCUCCCACUGCUAAACUUCAUGAAAAAUGGAGGAUGAGAUUGGAGGAGUGUCGGUGGGAAAGCACAAAGCAGAGCAAAGCCUCACGAAACCAUGGUAGCUGCACUGGGAAUGGAUGGGCAUUUUUUUUUCCUAGGAAAAAGUGCAAAUUGCUUUUGUCAUAAUCGAAUUUUAGUUGCCAAAAUGCUCGUUUUCAUCUUUUAGUCCAACCAAGAUGUCAAUCCAAGCUGUGCUUUGUCAGCAGCACUGCUGACAGUCUGUUCUUCCUGGCUGUCCGUGCUUCAGCCUUGGUGCAUCACCACCCCAGGGCUGCCUUACUAAAAGGAACCGUGGCACCUUCACUUUUGAAUGCAUUAAGAUCAAUUCUUAGGGUUUUCUAUCUGCAUUUGACUUACAGCCCAUAGAGUCACUGGGAAAGUAUUGUUUGAAGUGACAUUUCUGGGCCAGUGCCACAUGGAUUCUCAAGGCUUGUAGAAACUCUGGAAUGAAAGUAGUGCUCAGCAUCCACUGCACUGCCAGCACUGACAGGGAUGCCUUCAAUGAGUUCAAAGCCCACCAUGGGACAAAGCAUCCCAGUGCAACGUAGCAGUGCUGGCUGUAACCCCAGCACACAGAUCCAUGGGUGCAGGCAGAGAAGCAUGGAAUGAGCAGGGUGGAACUGUUCAGGACAGAAGGACCAGCAAACCCAGGUACUGGUGCUGCUGGUUGAACCCCAAGGCAGCUGCAGCACAGCUGAGCAUAUCCCCAGCCACUCCCGCCCCCCUCAACCCCGUGCCUUUGGGUAGCUCUUUAGAUGUCUUCCUCUUGAUCUUCCAUUUUCCCUUUUGCUCUUUAUGCUAACCUUGAAGCCUUCAGCGAGGAGGAAUGUGUAAAUGAGAUGAGAAUGCUGAAAGAUUUAGAAAAUAUAUAUAUAUAUUUAGAUGAAAAAAAACUGAGGGUGAGAAUGUAAACUGGCUUAGGGCUUGUCCAACCCAAACCACGCUCAGCAGUCCCAGGGGACAACAAAAGGCACUUCUGGCACUGCACAUUUCCUGCAGCCAUCCAAAUGAGUGCAAGGCAACUGCACUCAUUUGGGUUUUACAAUGACGAGAUGCAAAUUAAGGAAGUAAAAUGUCUUUCCAGAGGAGCUUUCUCACCUUGAGCAGGGCAGGAAGACGCUGUCAUGUCCAUGGGACAAUGCAGAGCCCACACACCCUGCAAGGGAAAUGCUGGAACACAAAGAGCCCUGCUUGGAGGCACUGAACGGCUGACAGCAAUGCAGAAUGAAAGCUCUUGGCACAACCCCCACACUCCCCUGCCUGCAUUUUUACGUCCCCUAAUUGCAGGGUGUAUGCAUUGCUCUCAUGGGUUAAUUGGAUUCCUUGUAGAGCAUCCCUGCGUGUCAAUAUCAGUCCCACUGAAGACAGGGAGAGCCACGGGGAGAUGCUGCUGCUCAUCCAAAGCUGUGCCCAGCUCCGUGGCUAAAAGUGUCACUGCAUGCCUGGGGGUGCACCUCUGCAGGCGUUAAUUAAUAAGGUUGUUGCUCUUACGAUUUGUUUGGAAGAUGAGAAAGCUCAGAUAAACGCAUGAAUCUCGAUUUUCUUCAUCCUUUUCCAACCACGUGUUCCUUCUAGCUAAACUGUGCAGGGAGCUGAAGCCGUGUGAGGAGCACAGGGGGCAUACAAAGCAGAGGAUGAGCACAGAUCACAGCAGAGGAAGUUAUCUGGGAUUUCUUCCAUCUUGUGGAGACCCCGUGAUCCGCUUGCCAAUGCCCUGCACUGAACAAAGCUGCUGGCUUUCUGUGGGUGGCAGUGAAGGAACGAUUUUUGCUUCUCUCCUCCCUUCUCACCCCAAGAAAAUAAUGUUUGGAAACACAUCUGAGUCGCAGAAGUCUAAAACUGUCUGGAAAUCCCACCUUCAACCACGUGAACUGCAUUUCACUUUUAUUUCACUUUAUUGGGUCUUCAUUUUAAUAUGAUUAGUUUAUAGGAUUUCUUGACAGAGCAGUAAUAGAACAGCACAAUAUAUAUGGCUGUCAAUGUCAUACUAAAUAACCAAAUAAACUCUGUUAA